ACAGUUUUUUGACAAUAAUAAAUAUUCUAUUUCAACCAAUAGAAAUUUACUUGAAUCAAAUAAAUUCUUUUACAAUCAAAUAAAAUUUAUUUGAAACAAAGAAAACUUUAUUGAACCAAGUAAAUUCUAUUUCAAUCAAAUAAAAUUAAUUUGUAACAAAUAAAUUUCUAUUUUGCUGUGAGAUAAAUGUACCUUUUCUCAAGAUGUAUAUUUUUAUAUUUAUAAUUUUCUAUAUUUAAUUUCUUUUUGUAUUUAUAAUUUUAUAUCCCCAUUAUUAUAUCUGUAAAUUUGUUAUUUUACAUUUUUAUUUUAUUUUUAUAUUUCACAUUAUUUAUAUUUUACUUUUUAAAAGAAGAUUUGCAAACGAGAAUAUUUUUUUCAGGUAUUUUUUACCCUUUUUUCUAAGAAAAGUGAGAUUUCGAAAACUAACCAGUGAGGAUAUUUUUGUCCGCGAAAAAUGGAAUCCACGAUAUUUUCUAUCAAUAAAAAAAAACAGAUGAAGACUUCUAAUCUCAAUCGCAACUAGCAAGGUGGGAAAUUUACUUUAUACAGUGGAACAAUUUUCGUCCGCGUGAUAAAUUUACCUGAAGAAAGCCCUCUUUGGAAACGUUAACAUGAACAGCGGUGAUGGCGGCUUUAGAGAGUGACGAGGUAGUAGCCAGGGAAACUUCGUUUA